rnacentral:tRNA from 4 species
GGGCCUGUGGGGUAGCCUGGUCCAUCCUUUGGGAUUUGGGAUCCUGAGACCCCAGUUCAAAUCUGGGCAGGCCCACCA